AUAAUUUUUGGAGUUGAUUUGGGGCAUUGGAGUGGUUGCAUUGUGCAAAAGAAGAAAAAAACUGGCACAAAAUUCCUUCAGGACCAGUCUGCUAUUUUAAUUUUUUGCUCAAAAGUGCAGCCUGCACUUACUUAUUGGUCCAGUGAAUUUAUUAUAUUUUGUUUCUAGCAAGGCAUAAAUCAAGAGUUGAAAGGAAAAAUAGCUAUCAAAGGUAAGUGAAGUUCUGAGUUUAAACACACAACACCUCCACACACUCAAACACGCACACAUCAACGCACCCGCACACACCAACUCCGAACAGUUGGCUAUCCCAAACCCGCCAACAAUCAGGUAAGCUUUCUAUCCUCUCUCUUCUCCCUCAUCUCAGUUCUCUCUGUUGGCAGAUUUCUUUUCUCUUUUUUCUUCUUCUUCUUCUUAUUUCUUUUAAUGUGGAGUUUGAGCUCGAAUUGUGAAAUUAUGGUAUUGUCGUUUGAUUGGGAUGAGAUAUGCUGAUUGAACUAUAAUUCUCAUGUGGAUAAUUCAAUCUCUUAAUUGUGACAAAAAGCUUGGUAAAAGUGAGGCACACAACCUGCUCGAUAAAUUGUCUGAUAAAAAAAUUAAUUCACUGGUGAAGCCUGAGUAAUCAAGAGACAUUAAGAAGAUGCAUAGAAGUUAGUGUUGGUGUGUGGUUCGAAUAUGAGAGCGAGGUUUGCUGAGUCUGAUUAAAAAAAAUCGUAAUGUGUCAACGGGAGAGGAAGUGAGUUGUGUGAUGUUUUCUCUUGUUUAAAUGCAUAUUUUCAUGACUAAGGAAUAUUGAUUGUUUGCUACUUUGUGCGAUUAUGAGUUUCAUAGGAUGAAAGGUAAGGGCUACUAGUGUGCUCAUAAAAUGGUUGAGUAGACAUUCUCCUUGCAAUAUAAGGACACCCCAACAUCUCUAAUCUUUCAUUCAGUUGGAACUUGCACGUUCUCAGUUUUAUUUGAUUUAGAAGUGAUCGGGAAAGAAACCAAGUGAAAACAAGUCAACAAGAAGUCAAAUCGAAGAAAAUGUCAAAAGUGGCUACAAAUGCUAAAACAGUCAGAACUUAAAUGCUGAAAAUCAGGGGUUGUUUUGGUCAAAUCUUAAUUUGAGAAGAUUGGGAAUUCAUAAAAAGCAAGACUUGGGAAAAAAUCAUCAUCUUUGGUCAUUCACACAAGUUUGGGAGCUAGGGUUCUUACAACACACUUUGGGUUUAAAAUUUGAAGAUUUGGUUGAGCACUUUCUUGAACCUUUACUUCAUUUCUUUAAUUUCAUGCUUUGUAUUGAACAUCUAAAUGUGUAGUAUUUAUUUCUUUACUUGAAUCUUGUUUAUGGAAUAUUCAUGAUUAAAGUUUGGAUUAAAACUCUUGGUUUGCUUAUGUAUUGAAUGAUUUUUAUUUCUAAUGAAGUGGGUCUUUAUUCCUUUAA